AAAAUGAUCAAUCAGCUCCACUUGUGGUGGUUUUGCCUGUACAAGCAUGUUCUAUUGAGAGACAACCCAUUAGAAACCUCAGGAUAUCAAGAUUCCAGCAGCUGCAUGUGUCAGAAAUUCUUUUUGGAAAAGAGUGGGGAGAAGACGGUCUCUGCAAGUGGAGCUGCGAGUCUUUGCUGCAUGAAGUUUUUAACUGAGACAACUAAAACAUUUAUUUGCAUCCAUUAACCAACACAAAGAUGAGCAUUCUUAAAAAUCAUGUGAAAGUUGAUGAGAAGACUUACAGUAAGAGAAGCAACAGAGAAUAACUACUCUGCCUCUUAAAAAUAGAACAUCUUAACUUGAUUUAGGUCAACUUAAUAAAUGUAAGUACAUUUGUUACUCAAACAAGGAAGCAAUAUAAACCCAUAUAAAUAUGCAGUUUGCUGAUAAAGCCUAAACCCAGAUAUGUGCUAGGCCUGACGCUUCUUAAGGACAACAACUACCGAAUUCUGCAACAGAAAGCUAGCAAAUGCGGCUGAGGGAUUCUGCUAAACUUACAAGAUGAGGUGCCUUCAGUGAACUUCGCUGCAUAGGCAGUGUCAUCAAAUUAAAAGUAGGGUAAUGUUUUUGUUUCCUUUUGAAGCUGUCAGUUUCUGGGUGAAACCACUCUACAGAGUAAAUAGAAACAAAUGGCUUACCACCGAGUUCAAAUGCGUUCCUAGAGCGUUUUUUAAAUAAUGAAUACCUUGACUACUUUUAUCAUUUUAUUGAAAAACAUUUAUUGGAUGUAUACAGUAAAUACCUGUUUAAUAAGAAUUGAGUGGGGAACAAAGCUUGGAACUUUAAUGCUUUGAAACUGAAUAUUAUACACUCUAAGAGUCAAGGAGAAGACAUGAAAAUCCAGAACAGAGUUUUCUCCGGUGAUUUGCAAAGCUCUGAACCUACAGGAUGCUUCCCAGCUCUUAAAGGGCUCUGUGUACAAUUCCACCUGAUUAUCUUUGCAUCGCCAUUUUAUUUUCAUGAGGGAAAGAAUUUACAUGUGCACACUAAUAGAGACUGAGAAAUCCUACACAAAAGAAUUCCCUUUGACUUGGUCAAAUGGA